AUGCCCAAGGAGUCAUGGGAGAUGAUAAGCAUGGAUUUUAUUGAUGGUCUGCCUACUUAUGGCAGAGUCAACUACAUUCUGGUCAUUGUGGAUAAACUGACCAAGUUCGCCCACUUCCUUCUGUUGGCACAUCCGUACACGGCCUCAAAGGGCGCUGUCUUGUACAUGAACCAAGUCUACCGGCUACAUGGAUUCCUAGGUUCGAUCAUGUCCGACCGUGGCCCAGUGUUCACAAGUCAUUUCUGCCAAGAGUUGUUUAAGUACGCUGGUACUCGCCUAGGCAUGAGGUCCGCAGAUCACCCACAGAUUGACGGGCAGACGGAGCGAGUCAACCAAUGCCUUGAAACCAUUUUGCGGUGCUUCACUCAAGCAUGCCCUCGUCGCUGGAGUUUCUGGAUCCCUCUGGCCCAAUUCUGGUACAAUUCUUCGUACCAUUCUGCUACUGGCAUGUCACCUUUCCGAGCCAUGUACGGUCACGAACCACAGCAAUGGGGGAUAACAACGACCAACGCCUGUUCAGUUCCAGCUCUGCGAUCAUGGCUUGAUGAAUGA
rnacentral:rRNA from 1 species